UUUUUUUUUUUUUUCUUUUAAAAUUUUGGCCACUGUUCUCCGUACGAGGGCUUUUUUUUUCUGUCUGUCGGUCCGGCGGGCUGGCUUUGCCCCUCUUUCCCACGGAGCCCGCGCCGGGCGCCCGGUGGGGAGUGGGGAGUGGGUGGGGGCAGCCAGCAGAGUUCCAUUUUGGAAAGCCCGUGCCGCGUCUCCGCGCUCCCAGCCCGGGUCCCCGCGCUCCCAGCCCCGGCGCAGGUCUUGACGCACUGACUGGCCGCAGAGUCCAAGUGUAAAAAGAUUCCCAGGAUGUAAGCGAUACGGGGCAGGCGAGCAGAAGAGCAACCACACUGCAGAGGGUCUGCGAGGACACUUUUGCAUGAAGCCAUCAGUGCCCCUGAUCCCUGAAUGCCAUCACCGCCAGGAAACGCACGUGUUCUGGGGGCUGGGAGCCAACCAGAUGCCCGGCCUCCGUCAUGCGCAGCCAUGGAGGAUUGUCACUCCUUUAAUGCAGAAUGUCACAACAGCUCCUCGAGGACGGGGUAGUGUGA